rnacentral:rRNA from 1 species
GCUAAACGCGAAGAACCUUACCCAGGCUUGACAUGCAGUAGACAGCGCUAGAGAUAGCGCCUUCCUUCGGGACUGCUGCACAGGUGCUGCAUGGCUGUCGUCAGCUCGUGCCGUGAGGUGUUGGGUUAAGUCCCGCAACGAGCGCAACCCUUAUCGUAUGUUGCCAGCAUUUAGUUGGGCACUCGUGCGAGACUGCCGGUGAUAAGCCGGAGGAAGGCGGGGACGACGUCAAGUCAUCAUGGCCCUUACGUGUGGGGCUAGAAACGUGCUACAAUGGGAAUGACAGUGAGCAGCGAGGUCGCGAGGCCAAGCUAAUCUCCAAAAGCUCUCUCAGUUCAGAUUGUAGUCUGCAACUCGACUACAUGAAGUUGGAAUCGCUAGUAAUCGCAGAUCAGCAUUGCUGCGGUGAAUACGUUCCC